UUUUUGUGUGUCAAGUUGACAAGGGGUCAAUUGUACUGGCUAGUUGUGUGUCAACUUGACACAGCUGGAGUUAUCACAGAGAAAGGAGCUUCAGUUGAGGAAAUGCCUCCAUGAGAUCCAACUGUAAGGCAUUUUCUCAAUUAGUGAUCAAGGGGGAAAGGCCCCUUGUGGGUGGGACCAUCUCUGGGCUGGUAGUCUUGGGUUCUAUAAGAGAGCAGGCUGAGCAAGCCAGGGGAGGCAAGCCAGUAAAGAACAUCCCUCUAUGGCCUCUGCAUCAGCUCCUGCCCCCUGACCUGUUUGAGUUCCAGUCCUGACUUCCUUUGGUGAUGAACAGCAGCAUGGAAGUGUAAACCGAAUAAACCCCUUCCUCCCCAACUUGCUUCUUGGUCAUGAUGUUUGUGCAGGAAUAGAAACCCUGACUAAGACAGAUUGUGACCAUUAGCCACAAGCCACUCAAGAACACCUCUGUACAAAAAUGUAUUUGAGUUAUUUGCAGAAGUGUGGGUUCUGGAUAAAAGGCAGUAGCCAUUCAAACUAGGACACGCAUAAGUGAAUACAGGAGCAGUCAUAGUUAAACAUGAGACUGUCACGACAAAAUGAGGGUAAAGAUGACUGGCGGGGAGCUAGGCUUGUGUUACUAUCUGUACAUUUUUAUCUUAUGUGUAUGAGGGUUUGCCUUGCAUGUAUGUCUGUGUGCCCAAUGCACGCCCACUGAGUUAGAGGUUUUGUUCAAACUCAGAGAACCACCUGCCUCUGCCUCCUGAGUGUUGGGAAUAAAGAGUUUUGAAUUGCCAUAUGCAAAUCUAGCUCCUCUGAACAACAGGAAGUAAUCUUAAAUGCCGAGCUGCCUGCUUCUUCAGCCCUCAGUGCCACUACUUUGAGCUAGCCACACUUACAAAGCUCUGAACAGCAGCUGUCAGCGAGUGCUCCACAAUGCUAUAGGAACUCACUCCUUAUUAUAACCACAUAGGCAGAAUAACCAGACCCAUCUUACAGAUGUGACAGAAAAUUACAACAAAGUUGUUAAUUGCUCAAAGUCAGUGAGGACUGACUCUGGGGCACAGAGGCAGGAAAAAUCCAGUAUGGAAUUAUUGGGGAGAGUUAACAGAAACCCAGAAAGACGUGCUCCAGAUUAUGGCUGUGAGUAAAUCCUUCAAGAGUUGCUUCUUGCGGGGCAGUGGUGGUGCAGACCUUUAAUCCCAGCACUCGGGAGGCAGAGGCAGGUGGAUUUCUGAGUUUGAGGCCAGCCUGGUCUACAGAGUGAGUUCCAGGACAGCCAGGGCUACACAGAGAAACCCUGUCUCGAAAAUCCAAGAGUUGCCUCUUAGCUGGGCAUGGGAGUACACACCUUUGAUCCCAACACUCAGAAGUCAGAAACAGGUAGAUCUAUGAUUUAGAGGCCAGCCUGGUCUACAAAGUUAGUUCCAAGACAGCCAGGGCUACACAGGAAAACCUUUUCUUACAAAAACAAAAAAACAAAUAACAAUCUUUGGAAUCGAUCCCCCCUUUCCCCUGUGAUAGGGUUUCCCUGAUUGGCCUUGAAUUCAGAGAUCAUCUGCCUGUCUCUACUGCUUUAUUUAUAAAUGUUUUCUUAUUUUGUAUGUACAGUGUUAUGCAUGUGCACCACAUGCACACAGAGCCCCUGGAAGGCAGAACAGGGCAUCAGAUACCCUGGGACUGGAGUUAGACAACUGUGAGCCACCUUGUAUGCUUUUAUGGGUAUGAGUGUCUGGGUACCAUAUGCUUGUGCUGCCAGCAGAGGUCAGAAAAGGGGCCCUGGGGACCAUGACACUGUAGUUAUAGAUGACUGUGAGCAGCCAUGUGCGUGCUGGGAACUGUACCUGUCCUCAGAGCAUCAGAGCACCCAGUGUUAACUGCCAAGCCAUCUAGAGUUUUAUCUUUAAAUUAUGUGCAUAUGUGUGUAUCUGUGGGUGGCAAUGUACAUGUGGUUACAGGUGCCCAUGGAAGCCAGAAGAGGCCAUCACAUUUCCUAGAGUGGAAGUUACAGGUGGCUAUAAGCCUCCACAGUGGAGUGCUGGUAACUGAAUUUGGGAUUUCUGUAAGAGCUGCAAGUGUUUUUAACUACUCCCAGUUAUAGGUCCUUAACUGCUAAACUAUCUUUCCACCCCCAAGGGCUAGCCUUUUAUGUCAGACUAUUCUCAACUCAUGGACAUCUGCCUGUCUCAGCCUCUGCCCCGAGCACUGGGAUUGAAGGCGGUGUGCACAAUCACUCCUUACGCUUCUCUGCAUCUCAUCUUUGUUAAAUUAAAGGUUUGUCUUUAGCAAACUUGAAAAAGAUCCUUUAUGAUAAAAUGAAUGGCAAGGCGGUGCCUUUAAUCUCAGCACUCAGGGGCAGAGGCAGGCAGAUCUCUGAUUUAGAUGCCAAUCUGAUAUACAGAGCUAGUUCCAAGACAUCCAAGGAUACACAGAGAAACCCUGUCUCUGAAAAACCAAGCCCCCCAAAAACACCCAACAACAAAAACCCCAAAACUAAACAAAAACAAGAAAACCCCAAACAAACCCUAACACAAAUGUGAAGUAUGCCUGACCACCCUUCUCUCAACGCCUUCAUUUUGGUUUAAAACAAACAGUUUGCCUUUCAUUUAUUCUGAGUUCACUGAGUCAAGACACUCUUAGCAAAUUUUCUUCCCUUCCAAGAUUAGAAACUCAAGACGUGAACUCUAGCUCCUUGGAUGGCCGCAGCAGCAGCAGCAGAACUUAACUUUUUCAUUCUUGUGGUGCUGAGCUUCAGGUCAGGCACUGGCCAGGUUUAAGUGUUCAGCUCCAAGUUACAGCCCAGUCCAACUCAAGUCUAUUAUUAUUAUUAUUAUUAUUAUUAUUAUUUGCACAUUGGUGUUUUGCUUGUGUGCAAACGUCAGAUUCAGAUCCUAGAGUUACAGACAGCAGUGAGCUGCCAUAUGGAUGCUGGGAAUUGAACCCCACCCCUCCCCCUCCCAAAACUCCUAGCUAGAUCUUGGAAUUUUUGAAUAAAAUCUUCUUUCCUUCCUUUCUCUUCCUUUUUAAAAUAUUUUAUUUCUUUGACUGAGUCUCACUAUGUAGUCCCGACUGGCCUGGAACUCACUGUGUAGGUCAGGUUGGCCUCCAAUUUUACCGAGCUCUGCUUGCCUCUAACCCCCAAGUGCUGGGAUUAAGGUGUGUGCAGCCUUGGCCAGCCCAUAAUAAAUAGUUCUUAAAAGAUGGGUCGACCCCCACCCACUUCCAGCUGGUCUAUUUUCAUCUCAACCAAUUAUCUAUGCACACAAUCAUAACUAAGGACACCACAUGCUGGAUAGUCUCACUGUGUGGACCCACACUGGAAGCUGAAGUCAGUCAGGUUCCAGCUCGGGUUUACAGAAACAUAGGUUUUUAGCCUCUUCUAUGCAGCUCCACCCUGCCAUCUCUCUAGAACACUGUCUGCAGGGGAAAAUUCCAUGGAAUACAAAUGAUUCCUUGGAGCAGUUGGCAUCCACGUAAGGAAAGUAUGAGUGAGGUUUUAGUACCGGCUUUUACACUCCCAGGCCUGAAUAAAUAAGACUUGCUUCCUCCUCUUACCCAUGCCCAACCUUAGAAAGUUAACUAGGUCCAAACCUUUAGGUCCUGCCAGCUGCAUCGACUUGACAAAUUCUCCACAAUAAGUCUGUAUUCUGUGCGAGUAGGGGGACCGUAUUUAUCUCGGCCACUUCUUCGAUAACCAUAUCCACCUUUAGGAGGUUCAAACAGACAACAUCAUAGAGUGUAAGAGGAGAUGACACAGCACACUCUUAAACUAUGUAACUCAAUCCCCCCUUUCUAAACAAUAGCAUGUGUAUUUUAACUAAAGCCUCACCUUUAAUUCAAGUUUAAACACAAAAUUUCAGUAAGUUUUUAGGCAUACACAUUCACUAGUUAAUAUUUAUAUUUUAAAUUAGCAUGUAUAAAAUAAGAAACAUAAUUUAGAAAAGGCAAAUUAUUAAAUCAGUUACUACUAUUACCCCUAGUCAUUAAAGUUUUUGUGAAUAAUUUUUAUGGAAAGAAAAAGAUGCAGGCACCCAUUUCAGUUCAUCUCAUCUGUGUCUGAAUAAAUAGACUUGCUUGCACCCAGGUCUAUGGGGUAUGAUUGUAGUCACUGAAUGGCUUCCUAUUUUUUGGUCAGCCAAAUGGAAAGGUGACCAAGGUCAGCAAGUAGAAUAGGUGGUCAUCUUAACCUCAAAGGAUUCUUUUAAUUAAAAUUGAGGUCUUUGUUAAAUAUAUGUCAAGUUGUAUUACAGAAGAAAAUGUUUUAAAGUAUUAAAAGAAACUCAUGACAUCAAAUAUUUACAAUCUGUAUUUUAAAAGAUAUAUUCGUAUAGAAACAGCUUAAAUAUCUACCUUUAAAUAAAAUACUGAAAU
rnacentral:lncRNA from 1 species